rnacentral:rRNA from 1 species
UACGGAGGGGGCUAGCGUUGUUCGGAAUUACUGGGCGUAAAGCGCACGUAGGCGGCUUUGUAAGUUAGAGGUGAAAGCCCGGGGCUCAACUCCGGAAUUGCCUUUAAGACUGCAUCGCUAGAAUUGUGGAGAGGUAAGUGGAAUUCCGAGUGUAGAGGUGAAAUUCGUAGAUAUUCGGAAGAACACCAGUGGCGAAGGCGGCUUACUGGUCCGGAACUGACGCUGAGGUGCGAAAGCGUGGGGAGCAAACAGGAUUGAGAAACCCCUG